ensembl:lncRNA
AAUGGGGGCAGGGGGAGUUCCCAUUGUGGCUCAGCGGUUAAUGAACCCGACUAGUAUCCAAGAGGACGAGGGUUCGAUCCCCGGCCUCACUCAGUGGGUUAAGGAUCCAGCAUUGCCGUGAGCUGUGGUGUAGGUCACAGAUGCUCCUCGCAUCCCAUGUUGCUGUGGCUGUGGCAUAGGCUGGCGGCUACAGCUCCCAUUCAACCCCUAGUCUGGGAACCUCCAUAUGCCACAGAUGCAGCCCUAAAAAGACAAAAUUAAUUCAUUAAUUAAAAGCUUAUAAAAAUAAAAAAUAAAAUAGGGGCAGGGCCAGCCUAGGGGGUGAGACCCCCUCCUAGGGCUGGUGCUCCCUUGGGAGUCUGUGCCUCCACCAAGAAGCACACGAGACCCAGACACACACCCCAGGGAGAAAUGCACACGGGCAGUGAAGAUGCUUCCAGAUCCCUGCUCACAGGGGCCCAAACGUCGCCUCACAGCUGCAGUCCAGGUGGGACCAGAAAGCUCAGGUCACCCCGCUGGCCUGGAGCCAAGUCUGGACCCACCCACUCCCUCCUCAGCCUGGGAUGGAGGGUCCAGCCAUGGACUAUCCCACCUAAGGGAGACAGCUCGGCAGAGGAGGCCUGUGGUUAGAGAGAGAUGGAGAGAUGGGCCUGUGUGUGUGUGAGACAGACAGACAGAUGGACAGACAGCCUGGGGGGGGUGGCCAGAGUGAGAAAGCCAGCCUCCCUCUUCCUCCCCGUCCAGUACCUCGCCUUCCCCAUGUUUCUCUCCCAGACACUUCUAUCUUCCCCUUGCUCUUCUCUUUAAUUAAAAAGAUUUAUGCCCAAGAGUCCAAGCUCCUCCUCCUUGUUUGGGCACCGAGAGCUCAGAGCAGUGGAACCAAUACCUCCCAUCUCGGCCUCCUGUCUUCUCUGUCUCUCUGUCUCUGUAUCUCCCUUCCUCCUCUCCCUCCUCCCGGCACCCCCCCCAUCUGUCUGGCUCUAGAACCCAGUCUGCCCCCCUUUUCCUCCUCCUCUCUCUGCCAGUUUCUUGUCUUUCUCGGCAUUGGCCUUCCACUCGCCCCCACCCUCACUGCCCCCCACCAGCACUGUCAGAUCAGCCACCCUUCUUUUUCAGAACCAGCGUGGGUGAGGGGACAUCAGCAUCCCCCAAGACCUAAAGGCCAGCAUCACCCAAGGGACAGCACGUGGGACAAUUUCAGAGGGAGCACCCCUUGGCGCGAGGACCCUGACUCCACCAAGGACACCAACUCAGCCAAGGACCCAGAGUCCUGGCACCCUCCACCUUAAGCAUUUUUUUGCCAACACGCCCCAGCGCUCAAGCCGUAGCUCAUCCCACUGAUGCGGAGACCGAGGCUCAGAGAGGGAAGAGCUGGACUGAGGUGGGUCUGGACCCGCGUUCCUGGAGGGAGGAGGGCUGCCAGUGUGCCGAGGGGAGGGCGUCCCAGGACAGGAGUCAGGGACAGAGAGAAAGAAGGGGCCUGAGAUCCUGGAUGAGACAGAGUGAGAAGGAGAUGCAGGAAGUGGGGCGAGGGGGGCUGGAUGAGGGGCUUUGCAGGGGCGGGGCCCUCAUCCUCCCCCUCCCC